rnacentral:rRNA from 1 species
UAAGUCCCGCAACGAGCGCAACCCUUAUUACUAGUUGCCAGCAUUCAGUUGGGCACUCUAGUGAGACUGCCGGUGACAAACCGGAGGAAGGUGGGGAUGACGUCAAAUCAUCAUGCCCCUUAUGACUUGGGCUACACACGUGCUACAAUGGAUGGUACAACGAGCAGCGAACUCGUGAGGGUAAGCGAAUCUCUUAAAGCCAUUCUCAGUUCGGAUUGUAGGCUGCAACUCGCCUACAUGAAGCCGGAAUCGCUAGUAAUCGCGGAUCAGCACGCCGCGGUGAAUACGUUCCCGGGUCUU